UACGGAAGGUGCAAGCGUUAAUCGGAAUCACUGGGCGUAAAGCGCACGUAGGCGGCGCGGUCAGUCAGAUGUGAAAGCCCUCGGCUCAACCGAGGAAUUGCAUUUGAUACUGCCGUGCUCGAGUACUGGAGAGGCAGGCGGAAUUCCAGGUGUAGGAGUGAAAUCCGUAAAUAUCUGGAGGAACACCAGUGGCGAAGGCGGCCUGCUGGACAGAUACUGACGCUGAGGUGCGAAAGCGUGGGGAGCAAAACAGG
rnacentral:rRNA from 1 species